AUAAAUAAUGCACCCAUUUGGAUUGGCGCCCAAUCAUACUUUUAUUUUUACACAAGUUGGUCACCAUGAAAACCUUUGUGCUCUUCACUAUUUUCGCGGUAUUAGCUAUUCAGCUAUGCUCUUCCUCCCAUCACCACUCGCCAUCGCACGAGCACCACACGAAGCCGCCGACCACGCCGCACGUACCCACGACCACCACGGCUGACCCUCCCACUACCACUACCACCACGCCGAAACCAGAAGAACCAGCACAUCAUCCGUCUUCUCAACACGAUUGACUUUCUCCGAAAAACCACAUAAUAUAAUGGAUAACCAAAUUACCUACUAAAUGAAAGCAUGUUAACUAUUAUUUUAAUAAAUAAUUGCAUUUAAGGGC